GAUGAACGCUGGCGGCGUGCUUAACACAUGCAAGUCGAACGGAAAGGCUCCUGCUUGCAGGGGUACUCGAGUGGCGAACGGGUGAGUAACACGUGGGUGAUCUGCCCUGCACUUCGGGAUAAGCCUGGGAAACUGGGUCUAAUACCGGAUAGGACGAUGGUUUGGAUGCCAUUGUGGAAAGUUUUUCGGUGUGGGAUGAGCUCGCGGCCUAUCAGCUUGUUGGUGGGGUAAUGGCCUACCUAGGCGUCGACGGGUAGCCGGCCUGAGAGGGUGUACGGCCACAUUGGGACUGAGAUACGGCCCAGACUCCUACGGGAGGCAGCAGUGGGGAAUAUUGCACAAUGGGCGCAAGCCUGAUGCAGCGACGCCGCGUGGGGGAUGACGGCCUUCGGGUUGUAAACUCCUUUCGCUAGGGACGAAGCGCAAGUGACGGUACCUGGAGAAGAAGCACCGGCUAACUACGUG
rnacentral:rRNA from 1 species